GGGUGCGAUCAUACCAACGUUAACUCACUGGAUCCCAUCAAAACUUUGCAGUUAAGCAAAUUUGAGCUAGAGUACUACUGGGAUGGGUGACCUCCCAGGAAGUCUUAGUGUUGCACCCU
rnacentral:rRNA from 1 species